rnacentral:rRNA from 1 species
GACGAACGCUGGCGGCGUGCUUAAUACAUGCAAGUCGAACGAUGUGGCGAACGGGUGAGUAACGCGUAAUCAACCUGCCCUUCAGAGGGGGAACAAAGUUGGAAACGACUUCUAAUACCACAUACUGAAGGAGGUGAUUGCGUCUGAUUGGCUAGUUGGAGGGGUAACGGCCCACCAAGGCGAUGCUCAGUAGCCGGUCUGAGAGGAUGAACGGCCACAUUGGGACUGAGACACGGCCCAGACUCCUACGGGAGGCAGCAGUGGGGAAUCUUCCGCAAUGGACGAAAGUCUGACGGAGCAACGCCGCGUGAGUGAUGACGGCCUUCGGGUUGUAAAGCUCUGUUGUUCGGGACGCGGUACCGGAAUAGAAAGCGACGGCUAACUACGUGCCAGCCGCCGCGGUAAUUC